AUUGGCCUACGGGGGGCAGCAGUGGGGAAUAUUGCACAAUGAGGGAAACCCUGAUGCAGCAACGCCGCGUGAGUGAAGAAGUAUUUCGGUAUGUAAAGCUCUAUCAGCAGGGAAGAAGAUGACGGUACCUGAGUAAGAAGCCCCGGCUAACUACGUGCCAGCAGCCGCGGUAAUACGUAGGGGGCAAGCGUUAUCCGGAUUUACUGGGUGUAAAGGGAGCGUAGACGGUGAGACAAGUCUGAAGUGAAAGCCCG
rnacentral:rRNA from 1 species